rnacentral:rRNA from 1 species
GCAUAUCAAUAAGCGGAGGAAAAGAAACCAACAGGGAUUGCCUCAGUAACGGCGAAGUGAAGCGGCAACAGCUCAAAUUUGAAAUCUGGCUCCUUCGGGGCCCGAGUUGUAAUUUGGAGAAGAUGCUUCGGGUGUGGCCCCGGUCUAAGUUCCUUGGAACAGGACGUCACAGAGGGUGAGAAUCCCGUACGUGACCGGUGGCCGCCCCCGUGUGAAGCUCUUUCGACGAGUCGAGUUGUUUGGGAAUGCAGCUCAAAAUGGGUGGUAAAUUUCAUCUAAAGCUAAAUAUUGGCCAGAGACCGAUAGCGCACAAGUAGAGUGAUCGAAAGAUGAAAAGCACUUUGGAAAGAGAGUUAAACAGUACGUGAAAUUGUUGAAAGGGAAGCGCUUGCAACCAGACUUGCGCGCGGCCGAUCAUCCGGUGUUCGCACCGGUGCACUCGGUCGCGCUCAGGCCAGCAUCGGUUUGGGUGGUUGGAUAAAGGCCUCGGGAAUGUGGCUCUCUUCGGGGAGUGUUAUAGCCCGAGGUGCAAUGCAGCCUACCCGGACCGAGGACCGCGCUUCGGCUAGGAUGCUGGCGUAAUGGUUGUAAGCGACCCGUCUUGAAACACGGACCAAGGAGUCUAACAUCUAUGCGAGUGUUUGGGUGUCAAACCCAUACGCGUAAUGAAAGUGAACGGAGGUGAGAACCCUUAAGGGUGCAUCAUCGACCGAUCCUGAUGUCUUCGGAUGGAUUUGAGUAAGAGCAUAGCUGUUGGGACCCGAAAGAUGGUGAACUAUGCCUGAAUAGGGUGAAGCCAGAGGAAACUCUGGUGGAGGCUCGCAGCGGUUCUGACGUGCAAAUCGAUCGUCAAAUUUGGGCAUAGGGGCGAAAGACUAAUCGAACCAUCUAGUAGCUGGUUCUGCG